CCAGACUCCUACGGGAGGCAGCAGUGGGGAAUAUUGCACAAUGGGGGAAACCCUGAUGCAGCAACGCCGCGUGAGUGAAGAAGUAUUUCGGUAUGUAAAGCUCUAUCAGCAGGGAAGAAGAUGACGGUACCUGAUUAAGAAGCCCCGGCUAACUACGUGCCAGCAGCCGCGGUAAUACGUAGGGGGCAAGCGUUAUCCGGAUUUACUGGGUGUAAAGGGAGCGCAGACGGCAGUGCAAGUCUGGAGUGAAAGCCCGGGGCCCAACCCCGGGACUGCAUUUGGAACUGUAAGGCUAGAGUGUCGGAGAGGCAGGCGGAAUUCCUAGUGUAGCGGUGAAAUGCGUAGAUAUUAGGAGGAACACCAGUGGCGAAGGCGGCCUGCUGGACGAUGACUGACGUUGAGGCUCGAAAGCGUGGGGAGCAAACAGGAUUAGAUACCCGUGUAC
rnacentral:rRNA from 1 species